rnacentral:tRNA from 1 species
GGGAGGUAGAACACGUCAAAGUGCAAAUUUGAAGAAGCACCAUUUGGUGCCCCGGCU